rnacentral:rRNA from 1 species
ACGUAGGGGGCAAGCGUUGUCCGGAAUUACUGGGCGUAAAGCGCACGCAGGCUGAAUUAUAAGUCGGUAGUAAAAGGCGGGGGCUCAACUUCCGUAUAUCUAUCGAUACUGUAAAUCUAGAGUAUGUGAGAGGGAAGCGGAAUUCCCGGUGUAGCGGUGACCUGCGUAGAUAUCGGGAGGAAGACGAGUGGGGAAGGCGGGUUCCUGGCACAAUACUCACGCUCAUGUGUGAAAGUUAGGGCAGCUAACGG